UCCCUGUUGCCAGGGCAGUCUCCUAUGAAAUCCAACAUAGGACAAGGGUUGCGUUCGUUCAAGGACUUAACCUCACAUCUCACGACACGAACUGACGACGACCGUGCAGUACCUGUCUCAGAGCUCCCGAAGGCACUUCCCUCUUUCAAGGGAAUUCUCUGGAUGUCAAGGCCUGGAUAAGGUUUUUCGCUUGUUGUCGAAUUAAACCACAUGCUCCACCACUUGUGCGAGCCCCCGCCAAUUCCUUUGAGUUUUAGUCUUGCGACCGUACUCCCCAGGCGGCCAACUUGACGCGUUAGCUUCGCAACAGAGAGGGUCGACUCUCCCUAUUGCUAGUUGGCAUAGUUUACGGCGUGGACUA
rnacentral:misc_RNA from 1 species